AACGAACGCUGGCGGCAGGCCUAACACAUGCAAGUCGAGCGAGGACUUCGGUUCUAGCGGCGGACGGGUGAGUAACGCGUGGGAAUGUGCCCUUCUCUACGGAAUAGCCCUGGGAAACUGGGAGUAAUACCGUAUACGCCCUUUUGGGGAAAGAUUUAUCGGAGAAGGAUCAGCCUGCGUUGGAUUAGGUAGUUGGUGGGGUAAUGGCCUACCAAGCCGACGAUCCAUAGCUGGUUUGAGAGGAUGAUCAGCCACACUGGGACUGAGACACGGCCCAGACUCCUACGGGAGGCAGCAGUGGGGAAUCUUAGACAAUGGGGGCAACCCUGAUCUAGCCAUGCCGCGUGAGUGAUGAAGGCCUUAGGGUUGUAAAGCUCUUUCAGCUGGGAAGAUAAUGACGGUACCAGCAGAAGAAGCCCCGGCUAACUCCGUG
rnacentral:rRNA from 1 species